AAAGCAUGAUGAGGACAUUUUCUAAGUAUUUUCUUAAAUCUCACACAACUUCCAUAAAUUGAUUCUCCCUCAAAUUGGGAAAAAGAUGUGAUAUCAUUUCUAAGUUU